rnacentral:lncRNA from 1 species
CCUCCAGCGGCACGAUGUGAUCCACCAGCAAGGAGGGACGGCAAUAAGGCGUCCGAUAAGUCUAGACAUAUUGUUUGAUAUGAGUCAAAGGCUUGUAUUAUAGGACCUUGUCCACCUGAGCCUGAGUAGUGACAUGAGAAGGGGAAGUUGACAUGUGGUGUAUGGAGGAAGGAAAUAUCUGUCUGGAACAGUUCAGAACAAAGCACUGAUCCACGUCCAAAGCCCUGGGAGGAUGAGUGAUGAGAACAUAAACUCAGUUCAAGAUCGCUUCUACUUAAGUUCAUCCAUGAACAGUCAGAAGUAACCACAGUGGCCAAAUUCUGGCCUCUUAUUCGCCAGAGUCAUAGAGAGCUCAGGACUCAUUACAUCAGGGUGUCGAAAAUAUAACUUUACAACAACCUUAUGAAACUGGAAGGAAGUAACUGGGGCUCAGAGACACAGAGAUCAUACCUCUGAAGAGUUGAUGGAGCCAAUUAGAUGCCGAAAACAAACUUUAAACUUAAUUCCUGUGUGGAUUGAAGAUGCAACACCCACUGUAGUCUCAUGUGUUUGGACACUUGAUCUCCAACUGUUCGUGCUGCUAGGAAAAGUUUUGGAACCUUGGGAAGGCAGUGCUUCACUGGGGGUGCUGGGUCAUUGUAGGAAGGCCUUGAGGGCUUCUAGCUCUGCCCUACUUCCAGUUAACCCUAUGCUCCCUGGCAGCAGAUAAAAUGUGAUCAGCCAGGCUUCUAGUUCCUGCCCUCAUGCUCUCCCCACCGUGAUGAACUGAAGCUGUAAACCAAAAUCAACCCUUCCUUUCUUUAAUGGUUUUUGUUACACAAACAAGUAGCUAAUGCAGUCUCCUAAUUCCAAUUCUAGGUUAAGAUAUUCUGUGAAUCCAUCAUGAUAAUUUUAGUUCUGUUGUCUUCUCUAAUGCAGCCAUCAGGGACCAGUUUUAAAACAUUUAAAUGUUGAAGCCAGAAGAGAUUUGAAUCCCAUCAAUCCAUCCUCAUCCUACUACAAAGAAGAAAAACGAAGCCUUAUCUCAGAACCAACUGGCACAAGGCUACAAACCUUGCUAAACUUCAAGAUUGUUGAUUAUUGUUUCCCAAAUCAGUGCACAGAAAAAGAUAGCCAGGAGGUACAGCAAUUGUUAGGGAAAACCAUGGUUGAUGUGUGAAACAGAAAGUGACUCUGAAAAUGGGUUAUCCAGGCACUGUUGCUAAGAAACUCACGCUGUGUCUGUGUAUCCAUCAUGGAAAGGGAGGCUUCAGUGAUUCAUUGACUUCAGCCCAGUUAGCUAUAGUGUACAAGAACAUAGACUCUGAAACUUUUACAGAUCUACUUCCUUUGACAAGGUUUUAAACACCUCAUGGCUCUUUAUUUACAAAGAUGAAGAUUGGGCCUACUGCUGCCUCUUGCUUUCUGCUUCUUGGAGAAUGUUUGAGGAUCCAGUUUCUUCCUACAGAAAACCAUCUGCACUCCUGUAGAUAAACGGGAUCUCUAUGGGCCCACAUGCAAAUUUGCAAAGAUCUCAUGAAAGCAGAGAUGGGUCAAAAAUCUGAUAAGAGGAAUUUAUAGAAAUAUACAUUCACAAUAAACUAGGAUCUCUGUUUUCUGAAGGCUUUUGAAAAAUCACCCUCCAUAAAUGAAGUCAAUUUGUAUGGCUUUUUAAAUUAAGAAUUUGUCUACUUUGGAAAUCACACUUUUACAAAUAACAGGUAUUUGUAAAAUUGGGCAGGACCAGACUUGGAGCCUGGAGAGCAGGGUCCACUAUCACCCUCAUUUCCUAUCUGCAUGACUUUCAAAAGUUAGGCCAUGAAUGACCUUUCAAAGACUUGGUGUGCUUAUUGCAAAAUGGAGAUAAUAACAUUAACACCCAGAGUUUAAACUUCGAGAAGAACUAGCUCAGCCAUGAAACACAUUUGUUUCAUGACUUGAUUCCAACCUGUGUCUGAAAUUGGAGGAAUAAAUUUUGGGCAGGUCAGAUAGUAAGAAAAUGACCACAUUUCUGGGAAUCCUUUAAACUCUAGUAAUUAUAUAUGAUUACUUUGUAUGCAAAGCCUUAUACAUACAUAUGUAUAUGUAUAUAUAUGCACACAUAUUUUCCAUAUAUGCAUACAUAUUAUCU